UACGUAGGGUGCGAGCGUUGUCCGGAAUUAUUGGGCGUAAAGGGCUCGUAGGCGGUCUGUUACGUCGGGAGUGAAAACUCAGGGCUCAACCCUGAGCCUGCUUCCGAUACGGGCAGACUAGAGGUAUGCAGGGGAGAAUGGAAUUCCUGGUGUAGCGGUGAAAUGCGCAGAUAUCAGGAGGAACGCCGGUGGCGAAGGCGGUUCUCUGGGCAUUACCUGACGCUGAGGAGCGAAAGUGUGGGGAGCGAACAGG
rnacentral:rRNA from 1 species